UAUGGACCCAGAAAAGCGAAAUGAGGAAGAAGAUGACUUUAAAAAGACUCCUGAACAAAAGUUCAACGCUUGGAGAAUAAGCAGUUUCUUUCUCUCUACAUUUUAUCUCAAUGUUAUUUUUUGUUGAUGUUUGUUUAUGACGCUUAGACUGCUCUGUGUAAAACGGGAAAAAAAGAACAGCCGUAGUCACUUUUUGACGAUGCGUGCAGUGUAACGUAGACAGAAAUGUCACUUAUUUUUCACAUCACCUAUAGUUUGUGUUGACUUCUCUGUUGUCUGUGUAUUUGUCCGAUUGUCCGUCCCUUUUAUCAAGAGGAAUUUACAACAAACAAAAACAGGAAUAUUUUCUUUUUAUAUAUAUUUUGUUUCCUUUUUUUUAAUGAAAGACGACUUUGAAAAAAAAAAAAACACAAACAGGAAAAAUAAUGCAACCCCCCAAAAAAAACGUUUAAAAAAAUGAAACACAAUCUUCUCAUACCUCACACAACACAAAACUCAAAUGAACUUGGGAGGAGUGAUGAUUCACGGGCGCAUGUGGAAGUGCGCAAAAAGAUAUGUGCUUGUGGCCUGUGCGCAUAUGCAGUGAUUACAGAACACUUACCCUCAAGCCUCUGCGCUUGCUACCUAUUAAAUUGGUUCUAGGAGGAUCGCGGAUAGGAUACCUAACAUUAAAAAAGUCUUGCAUCAUCAUCAGAUGCUGAAAUGGAUUGCUGGCUGGCAGUUGGCCACUCCCAGAUAUUUCCAUGACCAUAGAUAGUGAAGCCAAAUGUGAAUGGCCCAGAGCUUGGGGGAAGUUUUUUGUAAUGGCUGAGUGCUCUAUGGUAUUGAAUGUAGCUGACGGGACGGGGCUGGAUUUGAGCCCGGCACCCACAACCUCACUUCCGCUCACCAGCAGAACGGAUGGUGGUGUCACAUCGAUGUUACACACAAACAAACUGAGAAUAUUGCCCAUCUGCAAGGUGCAAUACUUUUUCACCCCCCCCCCAAAAAAAAAAAAACUGUUUCUGUUUGAUUUAUAUUUUGUUUGAUUUUGGCCAUAACCAAGGACGUAAAUACAGAAAAUGAAAUAUGAAAAACCAGUAUAUGUAAAUUCAUAUGCAACACUCACAAACUGGAUGUUGAGGCUUGAGCACUUCCUUGCCAGCUCCUGCAUCCCGCCAUCUUGUAAAGUAAGAAAAAAAAAAGUGCAACGUAUAUUAAUGCUUCAUACAUCUGUGUGUGUGCUUGUGUGUGCACUCUCACAUGUCGACCCAUAUUCAAAAUUACCCCAUGACUUUAUUAAACUGACCCUGUGCCUCUUGUUCUCAGAAAAGAGAUAGCUAGCCAUCCCUACAGUAUGUCCUGGCAGCAAAUCUUAAUGCUUUCAUGGCUACAAUGUGUGUCUACCUACAACAGACUGGUCUCUCCAUGGUUAAUGAUGAGAGUGGGUUGAGAGUGUGGGGGGGGGUAGUGACCUUAAACAGUGGUUCUCAACUGGUUUUGUCCCGGGACCCAAAAUGAAUCUGGUUGUCUCACUCGCGACCCAAUAUUUGCAUCGCGAAAAAUAAUUGCCAACAUACAAUCUGGAAAACUAUUAUAUGACGAGAACAAAAUCCCCGCCUCUUUCAUUGUCAAUAAUACAAUUUUGCUCAUAUUCUUGAUGAAGAAUGUUAAUAAACUCACUGGCUUGAGACCCACGAAAUCAACCAAAAUAGUGCUGCUAACAGCUCUAUAUUGAAGAAAACAUUUUCAGAGAUUAAAUCAUUUACACAUUUAAAUUCAUUAUCACACUUUCUACCUGGUUUAAGUCAUUUAAGCUCAGACUGGAGUAUUUAUUUAUUUUUAUUAAAAAAAGUUGAGAAUCACUGAUCUGAAGUCCUUCAAUAACAAAGGGUAGGGGAAUGUCAAGACUUCACUAAUAUUUCCAAUAUAUCAGCUUGCCUGGCUACUGCCCGCUACAUUCAUUUAGGAAAGCCCAUUAAAUGGAAUCCCCCAACACCCCUGUCCAUUCAUCAGCUGUCUUAUCAUGGUUCAGUCCAACAGGUUGACACAUGGGAAGAGGGACAGGAUUGUCUGUGAUGUUUUGUUUUUGGGGGGCUUUGUUUGCUCCACCUUUACCAAAUGUAGAGCUUUGUGAAGACAAAAAAAGAAACGCAAGUAGCAAGAUGUCUAUGCAAUUCCCCUCCAAAAGCGUGCUCCCUUUACUGGCGAGCCAGCCUGCCAGCCAUGCUUAUAUUAAAGUGGUUUCAACCUUGUCUGGAUUCCCCCAACUCAACUUCAUGAAUCCCAGUGAUCCUUAUUUGAUCUGGGAGCAAAGACCCUUGCUACUCUGUGUGUGCCGAGGCUCAGGGCUUUCAAGUGAAUGGACCCAGGUUUGACGGGAUGCCCAAAGGCCUGGUCUUCACUCUCCAACCAUGACCUAGCUCACCGGUUGGUGCCUGGGGACCAGCAAGCCCACUCGUUGAGAUGGCAAAAGGACAAGUGGAGUUGGAAGGACACUGUUGAUAUCAUAGAAGAUUGGAUAGAGUUGUGCUGUUGUAAACUGCUCCGGAAUCUCUGUGCGUGCGUGCGUGCAUGGCUGUAUCUGUGUUACAGUAUUUGUCUACACGAUACAACACUCUCAUGGUUUGGUGGAUCAAUUCAGUGCUACCCUAACAAGGCCCAUGCAGCCUCAGACGUGAAUUGUGUCUUUGUAGUUUUCAUUUAGAAAUUAGAGUGAAAAAAUUCAUCACUUGCAUAGUUGAGCGUUAAAAUAUUGAAUCUACCCAGUAAGCAAAAUUUACGUUGAAGAGAUGUCGAAAAGACAUAUUUUUUUCAGACGUUGAAGUAAGGUUAAUUUUCCAUUCUGAAUGAAAGUUUAAAAUAUGUAACAUUAUAUAAAUUAUAUAAUAAUAAAUCAAUUGAAUAUAGGAAAGAGGAGCCAUCUGAAGAUUGCAGCAAAUAUUAUUUAUUAUUUCUUCCACCGGUCACAUGCGUUUAUGUGAGCUUGAUGUUCCAAGCAUUCCAACCUACAGAAUAAACCAGCACACCACGGUUACAGAAAUAUAAUUUUCUUUCUAUGACUGUGAUAUGUUGUUGUUUGUCUACCUUAGUGGACUGUAAGUCUGCGGAAUGACCAAAAUGUAAAUGUUAAAUGUAAAAACAGACACUUGCAAAGCAUUCUGUGUGUUAUUUGUAAAUAUAAAAUUGAACCUUUAUUUAAUUAGGCAAGUAAGUUAAGAACAAAUUCUUAUUUGCAAUGACGGCCUACCCCGGCCAAACCCGGACGACGCUGGGCCAAUUGUGCACCGCACUAUGGGAUUCCCAAUCACGGCCGGAUGUGAUGCAGCCUGGAUUCGACCCAGGGAAUGCAGUGAUGCCUCUUGCACUGAGAUGCAGUGCCUUAGACCACUGCACCACUCGGGAGCCCUAAUGAGCUCCGCCCCCAAACAAGUACAAAUGUGGUUGGUCCGGACCACACCUAAUCUGAACAAAUCAUAGAUGUCUAGGCUAUGUUUCACAAGUUGGAACAUAACAGUACGUUACAGCACAGUUCAGUACAGUAGCUACAGUACAGUUUAUUUCAGUACAGUUUAGUUCAGUAGAGUAUAUUAGAGUAAUGUAGUAUAUUAUACUGUGCUGUACUCUACUGUACUAAACUAUACUUUACCCUUCUUUACUUUAAUGUACUCUACUGUAUCGUACUGUACUGUACUUUUCUGUACUGUAAUGUACUGUGCACUGCUGUACUGUGCUCUCCAAACUUGUGAAUCAUAGAUGUCUUUGAUUGGUUAAGAUUUGUUCCAGCUCGGACCAAAUCUGACGUAUAUGUUUGGGCCAAAUUAACGCCGGUCCGGACCAAAUCUGAACCAAUUAUAGAUGUCUGUUUGGGCCAAAUAAAGGCCGGUCCAGACCAGACCAAAUCUAAACCAAACAUAAACGUCUAUGAUUGGUUCAGACUCGCUCUUGUCCGUGGAUGUUAAAACCGCACCAAAAAAAGAGGUCCGAGGGUAAAGUAAAGAAAAGUAUAGUUCAGUACUCCAAAAGACGUCAGCGUAAGUCCGUGCUUAGUGGGUGGUGGCCAAAUGAAUGUACUUCAAGACAUUAUGGUGCUCAGUGGGAGGUGAGUUACGUACGUUGGUGAGAUGCGAGUAACGUGCGAUUGGCAGGAUGACCUCUAACCUCUCCUCAUGAUGGUCAGACACCUGCAACUCACGAGACACAGGCGAAUGCACUGAUGAACGAGCCAAGUUACCACAUAAACAAGACCGCUUUAACUGGCCGUGCACUAACAUAGCAGCACGUACGUAGUUGAGAUGCACUCUCAGCAGCCUAGAUUCUAAAGGCUGUCUGGAGAAUAUUCUAGAAAAGUAGUCGUUGAUUGUGUCAGCAUGAAGACUUUAAAUACACUGAUUGCACCCAAUAAUGGCCAAAUAGCGCUUACAUUUGAACUGUUACUUUGAACUAGUUGAACCGUUAUAUAAGUGUUGGUGUAGCCUCGAAGCCACAGCUGUUGACAAAAAAAAAUGUUUAACCAAUGUUUCUGGGUAAGCUUUUAAUGAAGUGAAAUAUCUGAGUGAGUGGUGCUGGUCUUGUCAGACCCUAUUAGGUUGUUAACCGUGAGACAAUAUGAAUUUGCAUGAUUAGUUUUAACAUGCACCCACCCAUGAGAGUGUUGGCUAGAACACAGUGACCCAUUCUACACACACACACAAUCGCAGACACACACUUGUUUCCCGGACUGGAUAAGAAAGCUAUUGAAGGAUUCUCUCAGGAAAAAAUAACAUUUUCUAAAUAAAUGAUGAUAAACAUUAGAUGAACCACCAUUGUUAGCUCAUCAUUUUUUGCUCUCUGGAUGGAGAAUGUCAUGGUAUGUACUGUUUGCGUCCUGUUCUCCUGCCCUUUGGUUUUGGAUCGUUCCACGCAAUCCCUUUGCUAUUUUAAGUAGAAAUUGUGCUCCAAUAUUGCAAUUUUAAAAGCCUGUUAUAUUCAGAGUGAGUGCCAAAAUUCUGCAAGAUGUGAGCUGAACUCUCAAUUUAAUAACUAUUCCAU
ensembl:lncRNA